rnacentral:lncRNA from 1 species
GAAGAAGGCCAGGAGAGCGGAACAUGAAGAAUUUACCAAGGCAAACUUGGAGGCUAUGAAAGAAUUGAAGAAAAUGAUGGGUGACCGGUUGAAUGACGUGGAGAAAUAUGGUUAAAUGAUUGCUGGAAUGUUGUGUUGAAAAACUAAGUUAGUAUAUGAAUGUUCUGAUGGCUCGGCCAAUGUUCUGAUGUCUAUGCAGUAUUAUGUAUGUUAGCCUGUUCUUAGUAGUAUGUUUCUUCUUUUCAUUUGUAUGUUUGCACUUCUGUAAUUUUUUAUGCUUUUGAGUAUAUCUACAGGGGUGUUCAGCUACAAAGUUGGGGUGUAAUUUUUAUAGGGGUG